rnacentral:rRNA from 1 species
UACAGGAUAAUAUAAGAGAUUCACAUGCAUUUCUUAUCAAAGCUCCGGCGGUAUGAGAUGGACCCGCGUCUGAUUAGCUAGUUGGUAAGGUAAUGGCUUACCAAGGCGACGAUCAGUAGCCGACCUGAGAGGGUGAUCGGCCACAUUGGAACUGAGACACGGUCCAAACUCCUACGGGAGGCAGCAGUGGGGAAUAUUGCACAAUGGGCGAAAGCCUGAUGCAGCAACGCCGCGUGAGUGAUGAAGGCUUUCGGGUCGUAAAACUCUGUCCUCAAGGAAGAUAAUGACGGUACUUGAGGAGGAAGCCCCGGCUAACUACGUGCCAGCAGCCGCGGUAAUACGUAGGGGGCUAGCGUUAUCCGGAUUUACUGGGCGUAAAGGGUGCGUAGGUGGUUUUUUAAGUCAGGAGUGAAAGGCUACGGCUCAACCGUAGUAAGCUCUUGAAACUGGGAAACUUGAGUGCAGGAGAGGAAAGUGGAAUUCCUAGUGUAGCGGUGAAAUGCGUAGAUAUUAGGAGGAACACCAGUAGCGAAGGCGGCUUUCUGGACUGUAACUGACACUGAGGCACGAAAGCGUGGGGAGCAAACAGGAUUAGAUACCCUGGUAGUCCACGCCGUAAACGAUGAGUACUAGGUGUCGGGGGUUACCC